rnacentral:rRNA from 1 species
AUUGAACGCUGGCGGCAGGCCUAACACAUGCAAGUCGAGCGGCGCGGCGGCCGGGGGAGUAAUGCCAAGGAAUCUGCCUGGUAGUGAGGGAUAACGUCCGGAAACGGGCACUAAUACUGCAUACUAUCACAUGAGCCUGAGUCGGAUUAGCUAGUUGUUGUGGUAAAGGCCUACCACGGCGACGAUCCGUAACUGUUCUGAGAGGAUGAUCAGUCACACUGGAACUGAGACACGGUCCAGACUCCUACGGGAGGCAGCAGUGGGGAAUAUUGGACAAUGGGCGAAAGCCUGAUCCAGCCAUGCCGCGUGUGUGAAGAAGGUCUUCGGAUUGUAAAGCACUUUAAGUGGGGAGGCGUUACCCACAGAAUAAGCACCGGCUAACUUCGUGCCAGCCGCCGCGGUAAUAC